AUUAAUCGACGGCGCAACCCACAGUUGGGAGGGCGGGUCUGUUCUGGUUCUGUAACUGAUGCCUGAGGGCUCGGAUAGGCGUUGGGGAGCCAAUCAGGAAUAAGAUACCCUGGCUAUCUCCAUCCCAGUCAUACAGAGAGUUGUAAGUGUUCGAAGGGUUUCCGGCCUUUCAGUGCUGCAAGUACGCACUUAAGCACUCCGCCUGGGGAGUUCGGCCGCUAAGGUUGACACUCAAAGGAAUGACGGGGGCCCUGCACAAGCGGUGGAGCAUGUGGUUUAAUUGAAGCAACGCGAAGAACCUUACCAGGUCUUGACAUCCUUUGACCACUCUAGAGAUAGAGCUUCCCCUUCGGGGGCAAAGUGACAGGUGGUGCAUGGUUGUCGUCAGCUCGUGUCGUGAGAUGUUGGGUUAAGUCCCGCAACGAGCGCAACCCUUAUUGUUAGUUGCCAUCAUUCAGUUGGGCACUCUAGCAAGACUUGCCGGUGACAAACCGGAGGAAGGUGGGGAUGACGUCAAAUCAUCAUGCCCCUUAUGACCUGGGCUACACACGUGCUACAAUGGGAAGUACAACGAGUUGCGAAGUCGCGAGGCUAAGCUAAUCUCUUAAAGCUUCUCUCAGUUCGGAUGGCAGGCUGCAACUCGCCUGCAUGAAGCCGGAAUCGGUAGUAAUCGCGGAUCAGCACGCCGCGGUGAAUACGUUCCCGGGCCUUGUACACACCGCCCGUCACACCACGAGAGUUUGUAACACCCGAAGUCGGUGAGGUAACCUUUUGGAGCCAGCCGCCUAAGGUGGGAUAGAUGAUUGGGGUGAAGUCGUAACAAGGUAGCCGUAUCGGAAGGUGCGGCUGGAUCACCUCCUUUAUAAGGAAUAUUACGGAGACUACACAAUUUGUUUUUACUUUGUUCAGUUUUGAGAGGUUUACUCUCAAACACUUUUGUUCAUUGAAAACUGGAUAUUUGAAGUAAAUGUAAGUAAUACAAACCGAGAACACCGCGUUGAAUUUGAAAGCUGAACAAAUUGUUUAGCCUGAAGCAAAAUAGGCGGACGGCCAUAAAAUCUUUGAUUUUAUGAGACGAUCGAUCUUUUUGCCGUACAGGCUGAUUUGUGAGCUGGAUAGAGUUUUUUAAUAAGUUCAAUUGCUUAUUUUCUUGAUCUAACUUCUAUCGCUAGAAGAAGGAUCAAAACCCAACCGUAAGGUUGAUAAGGUUAAGGAAUAAGGGCGCCGGGGUGGUUUC
rnacentral:misc_RNA from 1 species